GACAGAGGUGCCGAGCGUUAGGCGGAAUCACUGGGCUUAAAGCGUGUGUAGGCGGAGGCCUAAGUACCUUGUGAAAUCCCACGGCUCAACCGUGGAACUGCUUGGUAUACUGGGUCUCUUGAGCCACCUAGGGGCAAGUGGAACAAACGGUGGAGCGGUGAAAUGCGUAGAUAUCAGGAGGAACACCGGUGGCGAAGGCGGGUCUCUGGGCCGAUACUGACGCUGAGGAGCGAAAGCUAGGGGAGCAAACAGG
rnacentral:rRNA from 1 species